GGAGGAGCCCUGAUGAAGAAGCAGGAACAACACUGCUGUGGAGGUUUGCAGCCGUAAGAAAACACCAAGAGAAGUGACCCCAGUCGUCAUCCUACCCAACAGAAGAGGAAAAUAUUGCAUCCAAGAGUCCAGCCUAAAGGCAUGAAGUUGUUUGUGUUUUUUCCUGCCUCGUAUUUGUAAUGCUCUCCGUGUUUCCUCACUCUCUGCAGGAUUUGUCAGAUGCACAGAGCAGUGCAGAAUGCAUAUGAACUGCCCAUGGAAGUUUGGCUGGACCUCUCACCCCCUCAGCUAACCCAAAGUUCCUCAUCAGACACUUGAAUAAACAUCCAAGCAUUCCAAAUACAGUUCUCCUCAGAUUGCUCUGUGAUUUUUCUGGAAACCCCCCUGUGUGCAGAGGAUCAAGUCUAAGAAGGAAUUGUAGAGAAGGUGUAUUGAACAUAUUCACCAGCAUAAUGAAGAAACACACCCCAACUUCUGCUUUGUUUUGCUGAAGAUGGUUGAAAAAAAGCCCAACCCCCAAAUC